GAUGAAGAACGCAGCGAAAUGCGAUACGUAAUGUGAAUUGCAGAUUUCAGUGAAUCAUCGAAUCUUUGAACGCACAUUGCGCCCGCCAGUAUUCUGGCGGGCAUGCCUGUUCGAGCGUCAUUUCAACCAUCAAGCGCCUCGCUUGUGUUGGGGCCCUGCGGCUGCCGCAGGCCCCUAAAUCCAGUGGCGGGCUCGUCGUCGUACCGAGUGCAGUAAACAUCCUCGCUCAGGGAACCCGACGGGUGCCGGCCGUGAAACCCCCCCUCCUCAAGGUUGACCUCGGAUCAGGUAGGAAUACCCGCUGAACUUAAGCAUAUCAAUAACGGAGGA
rnacentral:misc_RNA from 1 species